rnacentral:pre_miRNA from 1 species
AGUGGAAUAGCUGGGUCAAAUGGUGUUUUCAUUCCAAGUUUUCUGAGGAAUCUUCAUACCACUUUUCAGAGUGGUUGUACCAAUUUGCAGUCCCAACAGUAAU